AGGAAACUCGGCUAGGAGGUUCUGCAGGCCAGCAGGUUGCUGUCAGACCUGAAGCAAGAGCAGGGCCCUGCCGCAGGCCGGUCCCUUAAUGGCCAUUUGUAUUGGAUCAAGUUCAUAAGGAUUUGCAGAGUUCCUCCAGGGCCUCUGUGAGGGUGAAGAACCAAGCUCUGCCAACCACAGGUUCUCAAGGAACAUUUGUCUGCUGUGGAAUUAAUCAGAAGUCACGCCCUCCCUCCCUCUGACAGCUGCAGGGGGAGAGGGUGGAGGAAUUAUCCAGGGAAUG